AACGAUGGAUGCCCGUUCUCCGGCUUUUUUGUCGGGGGACCGAGCGAAAGCAUUGAGCAUCCCACCUGGGGAGUACGCCGGCAACGGUGAAACUCAAAGGAAUUGACGGGGGCCCGCACAAGCGGAGGAACAUGUGGUUUAAUUCGAUGAUACGCGAGGAACCUUACCCGGGCUUGAAUUGCAGAGGAAAGAUCCAGAGAUGGUGAUGCCCUUCGGGGCCUCUGUGAAGGUGCUGCAUGGCUGUCGUCAG
rnacentral:rRNA from 1 species